rnacentral:rRNA from 1 species
UACGUAGGGUGCAAGCGUUAUCCGGAAUUAUUGGGCGUAAAGAGCUCGUAGGCGGUUUGUCGCGUCUGCUGUGAAAGCCCGGGGCUCAACCCCGGGUCUGCAGUGGGUACGGGCAGACUAGAGUGCAGUAGGGGAGACUGGAAUUCCUGGUGUAGCGGUGAAAUGCGCAGAUAUCAGGAGGAACACCGAUGGCGAAGGCAGGUCUCUGGGCUGUAACUGACGCUGAGGAGCGAAAGCAUGGGGGAGCGAACAGG